rnacentral:rRNA from 1 species
CCUACGGGUGGCUGCAGUGGGGAAUUUUGGACAAUGGGCGCAAGCCUGAUCCAGCCAUGCCGCGUGCGGGAAGAAGGCCUUCGGGUUGUAAACCGCUUUUGUCAGGGAAGAAAUCCUCUGGGCUAAUACCUCGGGGGGAUGACGGUACCUGAAGAAUAAGCACCGGCUAACUACGUGCCAGCAGCCGCGGUAAUACGUACGGUGCGAGCGUUCGUCGGAAGUACUGGGCGGGUAGCGUGCGCCAGCGGUGAAAUCCCCGGGCUCAACCUGGGAACUGCCUUUGUGACUGCAAGGCUUGAGUGCGGCAGAGGGGGAUGGAAUUCCGCGUGUAGCAGUGAAAUGCGUAGAUAUGCGGAGGAACACCGAUGGCGAAGGCAAUCCCCUGGGCCUGCACUGACGCUCAUGCACGAAAGCGUGGGGAGCAAACAGGAUUAGAUACCCUUGUAGUC